rnacentral:rRNA from 3 species
UAGAGUUUGAUCCUGGCUCAGGACGAACGCUGGCGGCGUGCUUAACACAUGCAAGUCGAACGGAAAGGCCCUUCGGGGUACUCGAGUGGCGAACGGGUGAGUAACACGUGGGUGAUCUGCCCUGCACUCUGGGAUAAGCCUGGGAAACUGGGUCUAAUACCGGAUAGGACCACACACUUCAUGGUGAGUGGUGCAAAGCUUUUGCGGUGUGGGAUGAGCCCGCGGCCUAUCAGCUUGUUGGUGGGGUAAUGGCCCACCAAGGCGACGACGGGUAGCCGGCCUGAGAGGGUGACCGGCCACACUGGGACUGAGAUACGGCCCAGACUCCUACGGGAGGCAGCAGUGGGGAAUAUUGCACAAUGGGCGCAAGCCUGAUGCAGCGACGCCGCGUGAGGGAUGACGGCCUUCGGGUUGUAAACCUCUUUCAGUAGGGACGAAGCGAAAGUGACGGUACCUACAGAAGAAGGACCGGCCAACUACGUGCCAGCAGCCGCGGUAAUACGUAGGGUCCGAGCGUUGUCCGGAAUUACUGGGCGUAAAGAGCUCGUAGGUGGUUUGUCGCGUUGUUCGUGAAAACUCACAGCUUAACUGUGGGCGUGCGGGCGAUACGGGCAGACUAGAGUACUGCAGGGGAGACUGGAAUUCCUGGUGUAGCGGUGGAAUGCGCAGAUAUCAGGAGGAACACCGGUGGCGAAGGCGGGUCUCUGGGCAGUAACUGACGCUGAGGAGCGAAAGCGUGGGUAGCGAACAGGAUUAGAUACCCUGGUAGUCCACGCCGUAAACGGUGGGUACUAGGUGUGGGUUUCCUUCCUUGGGAUCCGUGCCGUAGCUAACGCAUUAAGUACCCCGCCUGGGGAGUACGGUCGCAAGACUAAAACUCAAAGGAAUUGACGGGGGCCCGCACAAGCGGCGGAGCAUGUGGAUUAAUUCGAUGCAACGCGAAGAACCUUACCUGGGUUUGACAUGCACAGGACGUACCUAGAGAUAGGUAUUCCCUUGUGGCCUGUGUGCAGGUGGUGCAUGGCUGUCGUCAGCUCGUGUCGUGAGAUGUUGGGUUAAGUCCCGCAACGAGCGCAACCCUUGUCCUAUGUUGCCAGCGGGUAAUGCCGGGGACUCGUAGGAGACUGCCGGGGUCAACUCGGAGGAAGGUGGGGAUGACGUCAAGUCAUCAUGCCCCUUAUGUCCAGGGCUUCACACAUGCUACAAUGGCCAGUACAGAGGGCUGCGAAGCCGUAAGGUGGAGCGAAUCCCUUAAAGCUGGUCUCAGUUCGGAUUGGGGUCUGCAACUCGACCCCAUGAAGUCGGAGUCGCUAGUAAUCGCAGAUCAGCAACGCUGCGGUGAAUACGUUCCCGGGCCUUGUACACACCGCCCGUCACGUCAUGAAAGUCGGUAACACCCGAAGCCAGUGGCCUAACCUUUUGGAGGGAGCUGUCGAAGGUGGGAUCGGCGAUUGGGACGAAGUCGUAACAAGGUAGCCGUA